CUAUAUUAUCUCCGAAGUUUAGUCCCAUUUUUUGGGCGAUAAAAUUUUUGCUUAUUUUAAAGAAAUAUCUAAUUCACAAAAAAAGAUUUGUUCCUGAUUAUGAGAUACUAGAUUUAGGUAGUUUAAUAAACAUAAAAUAGAUGGCUGUAAAAUAUUCAUAUUAAGGAAUUUUGAAGUUUAAGUUGAAAUCCCUCAAUUUUAUUUACUUUAAAAAAUUUUUUUUGUUGCGGUUUUAAAUAGUGUUUUUAUAGAAUAAGUUUAAUUCAAGUUUAAUAUCAUUAUUAUUUAAAGGCAACUUUGAAAUGCUGUGUAAAGUUAAAUAAAUGUUUAAUGAAAAAAGUACCUAAAAGUAAUUAAUACUCACAUGAAAAGGUUUUAUUUUGAGUUCA
rnacentral:rRNA from 1 species